rnacentral:rRNA from 1 species
UAGGGAAUCUUCGGCAAUGGGGGGAACCCUGACCGAGCAACGCCGCGUGAGUGAAGAAGGUUUUCGGAUCGUAAAGCUCUGUUGUUAAGGAAGAACGAGUGUGAGAAUGGAAAGUUCAUACUGUGACGGUAGUUAACCAGAAAGGGACGGCUAACUACGUGCCAGCAGCCGCGGUAAUACGUAGGUCCCGAGCGUUGUCCGGAUUUAUUGGGCGUAAAGCGAGCGCAGGCGGUUAGAUAAGUCUGAAGUUAAAGGCAGUGGCUCAACCAUUGUAGGCUUUGGAAACUGUUUAACUUGAGUGCAGAAGGGGAGAGUGGAAUUCCAUGUGUAGCGGUGAAAUGCGUAGAUAUAUGGAGGAACACCGGUGGCGAAAGCGGCUCUCUGGUCUGUAACUGACGCUGAGGCUCGAAAGCGUGGGUAGCAAACAGG